CCUACGGGGGGCAGCAGUGGGGAAUAUUGCACAAUGGGCGAAAGCCUGAUGCAGCGACGCCGCGUGAGGGAUGACGGCCUUCGGGUUGUAAACCUCUUUCAGCAGGGAAGAAGCGAAAGUGACGGUACCUGCAGAAGAAGCACCGGCUAACUACGUGCCAGCAGCCGCGGUAAUACGUAGGGUGCGAGCGUUAUCCGGAAUUAUUGGGCGUAAAGAGCUCGUAGGCGGUUUGUCACGUCUGUCGUGAAAGUCCGGGGCUUAACCCCGGAUCUGCGGUGGGUACGGGCAGACUAGAGUGCAGUAGGGGAGACUGGAAUUCCUGGUGUAGCGGUGGAAUGCGCAGAUAUCAGGAGGAACACCGAUGGCGAAGGCAGGUCUCUGGGCUGUAACUGACGCUGAGGA
rnacentral:rRNA from 1 species